UUCAGAGAUGGCGGAUUAUAGAUAAAAACUAGUCAAGAGAGAGAGAAAAAAAAGGGUGUCAUUUGAUUGCCUCGGUGUGUGUGACAAAACGCAACAAACCAAAGAUUUCAUUAGUUGAAUAAACUUGAGUAUUCAUAAUGGAGCGGCUUUAUAAUAUGCAGCUAAAUGCACUUGUGUUUGUUGGCUCCAAGAUGGAAAAAAGCCGGAUCUUACGCACAUUAGAAAAAUCAAGACUUGGUUUAAAUGGCUCAUUAGCGUGUAUUGCAACAGUAUAUUCUUUUGGUGGCAUAUACGCAUUUACACAAAUGUAUGAAGAAAUUAAAAAAAAGAAAAAUGACUCAAAUAAAAAUAUAUCUACAAUUUAAUUUGAUUAAAUUAAAAUGCAUAUUAAUGCAAAUAUAAUUUAUGCAAAAUAUUGUUAUUAAUAAAUUAUUAUUAUUAUUAUUAAAUAAAGCUGAUUAUAAUUAUAAA